CGGCUGGAGUGGCUCUGAAAGGAGGGGGGAAGGGAAACUGGAGGAGCACUCUCCCUCACAUCAUAGGUCUAGCCCCCCACUCCUCCCCACAAUCUAGAGGAAGAAACCAGAGGCAGGAGAAACUCCUCAUUUCCAUCCUCCUUUCAUGGAAGAGCCUUCUCACAGGGAAGUGGAAAAAAGAUACCAUCCAGGAGGUACUCACGACUGUGGAGCAGACUAGAAAACCCAACGACAACAUCUACCACCAGCACCAGCACCAGUACCACUACCACCAAAACAGGUCCCGUUCCAAGGAAG